UUUACGUUUUCAAACAGAAAUCAAGAUUUUAGAAACCCCAAAUCCUGACCCAACUGAUCUUCCCAUCUUCGAUCAUCGACUUCAGGUCAGGGGUGAUCGAUAGUGCCACCACUGCCAGUAGUGUGAUUGUCUCGCUACUCUAAUAUUGGUUGACAAUCACUUGUAUCAUCCAUCAUUUUUUAUAAAAUAAGCAAAGGGCAUUCAAGCACCAUCAUCGAUCUCGGUCAUCACCUAACGGUGUCGUGCACCGUCUUUGUCAUCGUGCUUGCCCUCGUCUGGUGACUAAAACCCCUCAACCAAUUCGUCGAAUAUUGUCGUCGAUCGUCGUGGAAAGCUCCCGGAAGUUUCGUCAAAAACCUAACCAAAUCGUUUUUCCCUCCGAUUUAGGCCAUGUUAGGCCUACGUUCGCCUCACUGCCUUCAUAUUCGGGAUCCUCAGCUCAUUCCAAUCAAAACAUGAUCGGAUUCAUCGCCCCACUGUCGUUUGUUUGUAGUCCACCGUGACUUUAAGGGGUGUGAAAUUAAAGUUCAAGAGCGAUCGAUGGAGAUUAUUUGGUCGAUCGAUGUACAUAGAAAUUAAGGCUAAGAUCCCUACAAACAUUUGAUCAAGUAAAGAUUGGCUCUGCUAUCAAUUACUACAUGGAAUGAGAUGAAGAGCCUAUUUUUGGAGAAGUUUUUUCAUGUCUCCAAGGCCGUAAACAUCAGAAAAGAAAUCUAUGGCAUUACGCAACUCACUGAUGAGACUUUAUACGAGUAUUGAGAGAUGUUCAAGUGAUUAUGCGCUAGUUUUCCCUGUCAUCAAAUCAUGGACCAACUUCUAAUCUAAUAUUCUAUGAAGAAUUGUUGCCAAUGGAUAGAAGCACGAUCGAUGUAGCAAGUGGUGGAGCUUUAGUGAACCUCACGCCUGAAGGAGCCAAGGAGUUAAUUUCGUACAUGGAUGAAAAUUCCCAAAAAUGUGGUACAAGAUGAACAAAUCUGUUAACCAAGUCAGCAAGGUAAGAAUUGAUUCUCUUAAAAAUAAAAUUUCUGACGUAAUUACUUUGGUUCAUCAAAUUGUUGCAGGACAGGUACAAGUACAAAAGCUUGUGGAAUAUGUUCAAUUCAAGGGCAUCCUACGGAUAUGGUUUCUACAUUGCAAUAUGAUUGGUACAAGAGGAUAAUGUUUUAGGUGGAUUCCAAAAUCAACUCUAAAGGAAGAACGAUCCUUUUACUAAUCUUACAACCAAGAUGGAGAGAUCGUCCAAAAUCUAAGUUACAAGAAUCAAAGAGGACAACAAAGAUAUAACCCUAAAAAUUUUGCUAGACUGGCCGAACAUCAAUCUUCAAAUUCAGGAAAUGAGGAUGAGAAUUCAAAGUUUAGGCAAUCAAAUUACUCAAUUGGCCACGUCAGUAAAUUGGAAGCACAAAAUUUUGGAAAAUUAUCUUCAUAAACGGAGGUGAAUCCAAAGGAAAAUUGUAGUGCAAUUUCACUGACAAGCGGUAAAAAAAUUCCUUCAGGAUCAAUUCCACCUAAAAGAAGAUGAGCAAAAGGAAGAUUCAAUGUGUUGUUAAAGGUUAUAUAAGCCAAAGGAAGAUGAGAAAAAUGUUAUCUUGGAUACAUUUAGGAAGGUUGAGAUUAAUAUUCCAUUGGUGGAUGCUAUCAAGAAAAUUCCUAAGUAUACAAGAUUUUGAAGGAAUUAUGCACUAAUAAACGGAAACCGAAAGAAAAAGAAAGGGUUCAGGCCCCCAAUUUGGAACUAAAAGAUUUACUCGACCACCUUAAAUACAUAUACUUAGGAGAAGAUGAGACAUUUUUGGUCAUAAUCUCAAAAGGACUCACAACCGACAAGAGAAGAAAUUGGUUCAGGUUUUAAAAGAGCAAGAAGCAAUUGGAUGGACCUUAACCGACAUCAAAGGUAUAAGUCCAUCAUUUGUAUGCAUAGAAUACUGCUUGAAGAUGGUACCAAACCUUCAAGGGAAGCAAAAGGAGGUUAAAUCUAUCCAUGAACGAAGUGGCGAUGAAGGAAAUACAUAAAACUAUUAGAAGCAGGAAUAACUUAUCAAAUCUCAUAUAGUAAAUAGGUAAGUCCAAUUCACGUUGUCCCAAAGAAGACAGGGAUCACUAUAGUAAGAAAUUCGAACAAUAAACUUGUACCAAUGUGUGUGCAAAAAAGUUGUCGAAUGGCAUAGAUUUUAGAAAGCUUAAUCAUGUGACUAGGAAAGAUCACUUUCCUUUACCUUUCAUAGACCAAUGUUAGAGAGGUUGGCUGGAAAAUCUUUCUUUUAUUUUC